UACGUAGGGGGCAAGCGUUAUCCGGAUUUACUGGGUGUAAAGGGAGCGUAGACGGCAUGGCAAGCCAGAUGUGAAAUACCGGGGCUCAACCCCGGGACUGCAUUUGGAACUGUUAAUCUGGAGUGUCGGAGAGGCAGGCGGAAUUCCUAGUGUAGCGGUGAAAUGCGUAGAUAUUAGGAGGAACACCAGUGGCGAAGGCGGCCUGCUGGACGAUAACUGACGUUGAGGCUCGAAAGCGUGGGGAGCAAACAGG
rnacentral:rRNA from 1 species